UCAUCGACGAAGAAAUAUUUUUUCAUACAAUUUUUCAAAGAAAAUAAUGCUUUUUAAAAAAAUCAAAAAACCUUGCUUUAACUGAAAUGAUCUUUAAAAUGAGAAUUUGUUCAUUAAAAUUGGUACUCAUUGUUGAAGCAAACCAUCAUAAAACUAGAGAUGAUGCACAAUCUUCAUUUUCAUAACAGAAUGCCUUUCACUUGUUGCCUCUUGGAACGAUUAUUGACUUGAUAGACAUUCGUGUUUAGGUAUUUUAUAAAGACGUUUAGAACGACAUUUAAAGCUAAUUUCGAAUAUAAACUACAAAAGAAAUACUUUGAAGAAUUGAUUAAUUGUUUUAUCGAUCUAAGGAAGAAUAUUACUAGAUGUAACAUAGUUGAGAUUAAAAAUAUCGAGCUUAUUUUCUUUUCUCAUUUCGAUAUAAUACGGAAUAAACGACAAUUGGUGUAUUUUAACAGUACAUUCUUUUUUCUCUUUUUUAAUGCUUUUAUUUAAUCAUUUAUAUAAAAUGUCAAUCGAUUAACAAAUUUGACGAAUGAAAUAGAUAUUUUACCUGUUCUCCUUAAAAAAUAAUAUUAACUUGUCAUACAAUGGUAUUAAUCAAGGAUGUUAAUUAAGUGAGUUAAAUGAUUUUCAUCCAUCUUUUACCAAAUGAAGCACGCUGUCCCGUGUAAUACCACUUUCUCUCAAGGACGAUCCUAAUUCUUCUAAUCGUUUUGGCGAAUAUCUAUUAAGAAAAGUAAAAAAAAAUAAAACAUUCAAAGGAUAUUUAAUUCGAAAGUUGAAAAAAGAAUGUAAGGCAUCCUAAUAGAAAAUAUAUCUUACCCACUAACGAGAAUCUUGUAUCCUUUGUGCCAAGUUGCAGGUAAAGCCUCAUUCAAUAGUUCGUAAAGUUUAGCGAUGAAAUCGUCUGCAGAUAAGUGAACGAGAUAAAUAGUGCCGCCAUUCAAUGACCUCACCUUCAAACGAAGCUCUCCGGACUUUCCACUGGGCUCGUUGAUUUGAUGUAAGAUAGGAGGCUGAAACAUCGAUUUGAAUUUAUUAUCUUACAGCUGGUUUGCUAGCAUGUGUUGCUGAUUUAGAAAUUCGAGGAUUUCUCGGUGAUUCUACCGAAGGUUUACCAGAAAUUUUACCUUCGUCUUCGGAUAAUGAUUUUGAUUUAGAAACAUUCGAUCUGCUAAAUCGACGAUUUGAUAUACUUGCCGAUCUUGAUCGAGCUCGCGAUCGAUCGUUGAUCUUCUCUAAACGACUACAAAAUAUCAUCAAGAUCUCGCUGUAGAAAAAGUAUAAGAAUUAGAAUCAAGGCUAGGAUAGAACAAGAUAAAAGGCAAGAAUUAAGACAAAGGAUUAGAAAUUGAUUAUUGUUUCUUACUUUCUCUUUACGACUGCUCAAAACUAACUCAGCAUUAAUGUGAGAUUGAAGAUGAGAAUCCGAACAGACGUUAUUGUGUGAGGCUAAAAUUUGAGAUCUUAAGGAAAGAAUAUCGAUAGAUUGUGAAUCUGAAGAAUUUUUUGAUUUCAGUGAUCUAUAAACAAACAUUGAUUAUUAUUCAUUACAACAACUUAUUAUUUAUAAACGUAAUAGUAAAACCUUGCAGCGAAAGAUGAAGCAAACUCAAUGUUGCAAGGACUCUCUUUUAUUCUUGGACUGCAUUGACGAGAAGAAUUUGACAAAAUUUUCGAAUUACGAAAACGAAUCGAUCCGUCUUUAGAUGUUUGCUUUCCUAAUCGAUGACCCUGGCCAGGAAAAACAUUAACAUCGUUUGUGUAUACUUCCGAUCUAUGAUCUUCGACCUGAAUAAAGGGAUAUAAAAAUUAUGAUGAAAUCUAAUCGGAAUAUUCGUUGUAAUCAUUUUUUACUUUGAAAGGCACUCCAUUUGGAUAGGCUUCUUGUAAUUCAGAUGGGAAAUAACCAUCGAGGAUAUCACGUAUGAAGGAAGUUGUUUUUGGAUCAUUGUAAAGACGCAAAGGACUAUCUUGUACUAUCAUUCCAUUCUUGAAAAAUUUUAAGGAUAUA